rnacentral:rRNA from 1 species
UGGGGAAUUUUGGACAAUGGGCGCAAGCCUGAUCCAGCCAUGCCGCGUGAGUGAAGAAGGCCUUCGGGUUGUAAAGCUCUUUCGGCGGGGACGAAAAGGUCCGUGUUAACACCACGGAUCCAUGACGGUACCCGCAGAAGAAGCACCGGCUAACUACGUGCCAGCAGCCGCGGUAAUACGUAGGGUGCAGGCGUUAAUCGGAAUUACUGGGCGUAAAGCGUGCGCAGGCGGUUUGUUAAGACAGAUGUGAAAUCCCCGGGCUUAACCUGGGAACUGCGUUUGUUACUGGCAAGCUUGAGUGUGGCAGAGGGGGGUGGAAUUCCACGUGUAGCAGUGAAAUGCGUAGAGAUGUGGAGGAACACCGAUGGCGAAGGCAGCCCCCUGGGCUAACACUGACGCUCAUGCACGAAAGCGUGGGGAGCAAACAGGAUUAGAUACCCUGGUAGUCCACGCCCUAAACUAUGUCAACU